CUGCGGAAGGAUCAUUGUCGUGACCCUGACCAAAACAGACUGCGCACGCGUCAUCCAAUCCGUCGGCGACGGCACCGUCCGUCGCUCGGCCAAUGCCUCGACCACCUCCCCUCCUCGGAGCGGGUGGGGGCUCCGGGUAAAAGAACCCACGGCGCCGAAGGCGUCAAGGAACACUGUGCCUAACCCGGGGGCAUGUCUAGCUUGCUAGCCGUCCCUCGUGUUGCAAAGCUAUUUAAUCCACACGACUCUCGGCAACGGAUAUCUCGGCUCUCGCAUCGAUGAAGAACGUAGCGAAAUGCGAUACCUGGUGUGAAUUGCAGAAUCCCGCGAACCAUCGAGUCUUUGAACGCAAGUUGCGCCCGAGGCCACUCGGCCGAGGGCACGCCUGCCUGGGCGUCACGCCAAAACACGCUCCCAACCACCCUCAACGGGAUUCGGGAUGCGGCAUCUGGUCCCUCGUCUCUCAAGGGACGGUGGACCGAAGAUUGGGCUGCCGGCGUACCGCGCCGGACACAGCGCAUGGUGGGCGUCCUCGCUUUAUCAAUGCAGUGCAUCCGGCGCGCAGCUGGCAUUAUGGCCUUUGAACGACCCAACAAACGAAGCGCACGUCGCUUCGACCGCGACCCCAGGUCAGGCGGGACUACCCGCUGAGUUUAAGCA
rnacentral:rRNA from 1 species